rnacentral:rRNA from 1 species
GACGAACGCUGGCGGCGCGCCUAACACAUGCAAGUCGAACGAGCGAGAGAGAGCUUGCUUUCUCGAGCGAGUGGCGAACGGGUGAGUAACGCGUGAGGAACCUGCCUCAAAGAGGGGGACAACAGUUGGAAACGACUGCUAAUACCGCAUAAGCCCACGGGUCGGCAUCGACCAGAGGGAAAAGGAGCAAUCCGCUUUGAGAUGGCCUCGCGUCCGAUUAGCUAGUUGGUGAGGUAAUGGCCCACCAAGGCGACGAUCGGUAGCCGGACUGAGAGGUUGAACGGCCACAUUGGGACUGAGACACGGCCCAGACUCCUACGGGAGGCAGCAGUGGGGAAUAUUGCACAAUGGGGGGAACCCUGAUGCAGCGACGCCGCGUGGAGGAAGAAGGUCUUCGGAUUGUAAACUCCUGUUGUUGGGGAAGAUAAUGACGGUACCCAACAAGGAAGUGACGGCUAACUACGUGCCAGCAGCCGCGGUAAAACGUAGGUCACAAGCGUUGUCCGGAAUUACUGGGUGUAAAGGGAGCGCAGGCGGGAAGACAAGUUGGAAGUGAAAUCUAUGGGCUCAACCCAUAAACUGCUUUCAAAACUGUUUUUCUUGAGUAGUGCAGAGGUAGGCGGAAUUCCCGGUGUAGCGGUGGAAUGCGUAGAUAUCGGGAGGAACACCAGUGGCGAAGGCGGCCUACUGGGCACCAACUGACGCUGAGGCUCGAAAGUGUGGGUAGCAAACAGGAUUAGAUACCCUGGUAGUCCACACCGUAAACGAUGAUUACUAGGUGUUGGAGGAUUGACCCCUUCAGUGCCGCAGUUAACACAAUAAGUAAUCCACCUGGGGAGUACGACCGCAAGGUUGAAACUCAAAGGAAUUGACGGGGGCCCGCACAAGCAGUGGAGUAUGUGGUUUAAUUUGACGCAACGCGAAGAACCUUACCAAGUCUUGACAUCCCUUGACAGACAUAGAAAUAUGUAAUCUCUUCGGAGCAAGGAGACAGGUGGUGCAUGGUUGUCGUCAGCUCGUGUCGUGAGAUGUUGGGUUAAGUCCCGCAACGAGCGCAACCCUUAUGGUCAGUUACUACGCAAGAGGACUCUGGCCAGACUGCCGUUGACAAAACGGAGGAAGGUGGGGAUGACGUCAAAUCAUCAUGCCCUUUAUGACUUGGGCUACACACGUACUACAAUGGCGUUAAACAAAGAGAAGCAAGACCGCGAGGUGGAGCAAAACUCAGAAACAACGUCCCAGUUCGGACUGCAGGCUGCAACUCGCCUGCACGAAGUCGGAAUUGCUAGUAAUCGUGGAUCAGCAUGCCACGGUGAAUAAAAGGCCGGGCCUUGCACUCUCCGCCCGUCAAGGGCGC